UCAGACUCCUACGGGAGGCAGCAGUGGGGAAUAUUGCACAAUGGGGGGAACCCUGAUGCAGCGACGCCGCGUGGGUGAAGGAGCACCUCGGUGCGUAAAGCCCUAUCGGCAGGGAAGAAACAGACGGUACCUGACUAAGAAGCCCCGGCUAACUACGUGCCAGCAGCCGCGGUAAUACGUAGGGGGCAAGCGUUAUCCGGAUUCACUGGGUGUAAAGGGAGCGUAGACGGCGACGCAAGUCUGGAGUGAAAGCCCGGGGCCCAACCCCGGGACUGCUCUGGAAACUGCGGCGCUGGAGUACGGGAGGGGCAGGCGGAAUUCCUGGUGUAGCGGUGAAAUGCGUAGAUAUCAGGAGGAACACCGGCGGCGAAGGCGGCUUCCUGGUCUGCAACUGACACUGAGGCGCGAAAGCGUGGGGAGCAAACAGGAUUAGAUACCCGAGUA
rnacentral:rRNA from 1 species